AGAGUUUGAUCCUGGCUCAGGAUGAACGCUGGCGGUCUGCUUAACACAUGCAAGUCGAACGGAGUAGAAAUACUUAGUGGCGGACGGGUGAGUAACGCGUGAGAAUCUGCCUUCAGGACGGAGACAACAGUUGGAAACGACUGCUAAGCCCCGAUGAACCGAAAGGGAAAAUAUUUAUAGCCUGAAGAUGAGCUCGCGUCCGAUUAGCUAGUUGGCGGAGUAAAAGCCCACCAAGGCGACGAUCGGUAGCUGGUCUGAGAGGACGAUCAGCCACACUGGGACUGAGACACGGCCCAGACUCCUACGGGAGGCAGCAGUGGGGAAUUUUCCGCAAUGGGCGAAAGCCUGACGGAGCAAGACCGCGUGGGGGAAGAAGGCUCUUGGGUUGUAAACCUCUUUUGUCAGGGAAGAACACAAUGACGGUACCUGAAGAAUCAGCAUCGGCUAACUCCGUGCCAGCAGCCGCGGUAAUACGGGGGAUGCAAGCGUUAUCCGGAAUUAUUGGGCGUAAAGCGUCCGCAGGUGGCUAAUCAAGUCUGCUGUCAAAGGUUGGGGCUUAACCCCAAAAAGGCAGUGGAAACUGAGAAGCUAGAGUGCAGUAGGGGUAGAGGGAAUUCCCGGUGUAGCGGUGAAAUGCGUAGAGAUCGGGAAGAACAUCGGUGGCGAAAGCGCUCUGCUAGGCCGCAACUGACACUCAUGGACGAAAGCUAGGGGAGCGAAUGGGAUUAGAUACCCCCGUAGUCC
rnacentral:rRNA from 1 species